rnacentral:rRNA from 1 species
AUUGAACGCUGGCGGCAGGCCUAACACAUGCAAGUCGAACGAGUGGCGGACGGGUGAGUAAUGUCUGGGAAACUGCCUGAUGGAGGGGGAUAACUACUGGAAACGGUAGCUAAUACCGCAUACCAUCAGAUGUGCCCAGAUGGGAUUAGCUAGUAGGUGGGGUAAUGGCUCACCUAGGCGACGAUCCCUAGCUGGUCUGAGAGGAUGACCAGCCACACUGGAACGGAGACACGGGCCAGACUCCUACGGGAGGCAGCAGUGGGGAAUAUUGAACAAUGGGCGCAAGCCUGAUGCAGCCAUGCCGCGUGUAUGAAGAAGGCCUUCGGGUUGUAAAGUACUUUAAGUUGGGAGGCGUUACCAACAGAAUAAGCACCGGCUAACUUCGUGCCAGCCGCCGCGGUAAUAC